UAUAAAUUAGCGCUCUCACUUAUCUGUUCUGAAUAUGUUGUGCCCCCACGUUUGAAAAAUUCUGGAUUCGCCCGUUAGUAUCUCCCGGUAGGUUCUACAUUGUGGAUGCUGCGGGUUGCCAUAAGCCUAUUCUGAUUUUCAAAACGGACCAUACAUAUAUUUUUAUUUACGGUCACUUUAAAAUAGUAAAUACUGUACCCAACUAAAAUCAAUAAUAAUUUAUGCUGUCAUCUUUCUUAAAAGAAAAAAGAAAUUGGUGAUCGUAAAUACACAGAUGUUUAUGUCAGUGCUAUAAUAUCUUUAUGUCCCUUAAGUGUUGUUGUUUUCAAUUUUGUCUGCUUUUAAGAAUUAUGUCCAAGUUACUUAGAACAAGAAAAACGUGAUAGAUUGGAGAUUAAGUCCCAGUUCUGUUUAUUGACCAUAAUAAAUCUCAUUAGCAUAUCAUAAGCUGUAAAUUCCUAUCGAGUGUUCUACUGAAUAUCAAGCACGUUUUAAUGCUGUUUCUUCAUAGUUACAUAUUCUUUUUUUAUAUAGUUCUCUUUGACAGAUAAAAUGAAUGAUAAAGGAUACAAAAUACGACUUAACUUUCUUUUCAAUGAAUGAGAAACAUGCUUUGUUACAUUUUUGCAGGCCCUAGUAUUAUACUGGUGUUUUAAAAUGAAAUGAAAUGCAUGACUGAUCAUAAUUGAUAAUAUAUACUUAUUAUUUCUGAAGGUGAAUAUACAAAGUUUGAAAUAUAUUGAAUCAUAUUAACUUGUACCACAUUCUUUAAUACUCUAUUUUUGUUUUUUUUAACUUCUUAUGUUUGCUGUAUGGCACAUUACAAAAUUUCUUCUAGUACUACAGUAACCAUGAAAAAUAAAAAAAGAUAGGAUUCCAUAUCAGAAAAA